rnacentral:rRNA from 1 species
AUGGGUAUGCAGUCUAUGAUGGAUGUCCGGUGCACGAACCUUGUCAACCCUGUAUGCGACUGGCUUGGUGAGAUCUACGACCCUGCCUCCAGGGAAUUCGUGAUUCCGGGACGUGGAAGACUACUGUUGAACGAGGAAUCCGUGUUCUGCACUUUGGGUGUGCCUCGUGGACAUAUGAAAGUCCCGUACGAGGUCAACAAUGAGAUCAAGGAAGCGAUGUUCCCCCGUUUGUUUCCUGGGUCUGAAUCCAUGCCGAACAUGUCCGCAAUGGCGGAUUCGCUGCAGGCCAUGACGAUGCAUGGAGAUGUUUUCAAGAUGAAGCUACUCAUGUACCUCAUCUCAGCUGUUUUCGCGCCGACCACCUCUCUUCGCCCAAGCAACAAAUGCUUCCCCAUCCUGGUGAAUGAUCCAUCUUUACUACUUUAUUUUCCUUUGAUCUUUUUGGCUCCGAUGUCAUGUGUAAAGCUAGUGACUGCGAGCGUUUUCCGAUGUUUUUUUCCAUUUGAUUUCUGA